ensembl:lncRNA
CGGCGUCGCGCGCCUGCCCGCCGCAGCCACUGGCGCCUCGCGCGGCGCCUAGGUCAUGGCGUCGCGCACGCGCGCAGGCAACCUCGGCGGCGCCACCGCGCGGCCUUCUGGGACUCGUAGUUCCAGCGCUGGGCGGAGCCCCGGCCGUCCCCGAGCCUCGAGCCCUGAAGGUGCCAAGUCCCAGGAGCUGCUGGAACAUGAAGACUAUCAGAUGAUUCUUUAAAUGGCUCAUGGAAAAGGGGACAGAUUAAUAGCCCAUCCUCCUCCUGACCACCAUCAGUCCAUUCUAUUUUGUGUGUGGAAUUUUUUAAAUUGAAGUAUAGUUGAUUUACAAUGUUGGGUUAUUAAUAGCUUCACGUGUAUAGCAAGGUAUAUAUACAGACAUAUGUGUGUGUGUCUAUGUAUAUGUAUACAUAUGUAUUUUUUGUUUCCAAUUCUUUUCCAUUAUAGGUUAUUACGGGAUAUUGAGUGUAGUUCUCUGUGCUAUACAGUAGAUCCUUGUUGCUUGCCUGAUUUAUAUAUAGUAAUGUGUACAUGUCAGUUCCGAACUCCUAAUCUGUCUCCCCUACCCCAGCCCACUAGGGUUUCCCUGGUGGCUCAGACGGUAAAGGCAGGAGACCCAGGUUCAAUACCAGAAUUGGAAGAUGCUCUGGAGAAGGGAAUGGCACCCCACUCCAGUAUUCUUGCCUGGAAAAUCCCAUGGACAGAGGUGCCUGGUGGGCUACAGUCCAUGGGGUCACAAAGAGUCGGAUACAACCGAACAACUAACACUUUCACCCCACUCUGCUAUUCCCUUUGGUAACCAUAAAUUUGUUUUCUAUGUCGGUGAGUCUAUUUCUGCUUCGUAAAUAAGUUCAUUUGUAUAAUCGUUUUUUAGAUUCCACAGAAGUGCUAUCAUAUAAUAUUGGUCCUCUGUCUGUCUUAUUUCACACCAGUCCACUCUUGUAUCAUAUGCCUGAACAGACAUAAUUAAUGUUCCUGGGAAAAGAUAAAGCACCUAUAGUGAGUUUGUGCCACGAUCACAACAGUAACGAAAAACAGUAAUGCCACCGACAACUAUCACUGACUGCAUCAUUAGCAGGCACUCUGCCGAGGGUUGCUCCCUGCCUUGUGUCCUUUGGGGUAGGAACUGGGAUGGAAGAGGAUCUAUUAGGUUCAGGUUAGUGAACCCUGAAUUGACUACACACCAUUUGAGCACCAGAAACCCAGCAGUGACCUGGCAGAUGGAGAGAGGCUGCUUGCAGCCUGCAGGGUGAGUCAGCACCACCCAGGAGACGCAGCCACUUGGGCCUCCACGGGACUCAAAUGUCUGCAGCUUGGCUCCGAGCCAGGGCAACAGAGGGGCAGGCUCCAGAUGUGCAGCCCUGUAUGU